AGGCCUAUGAGGAACGUUUUGUUUAUUUGGAAUUACCGUCUGAACAUAAUUUGAUGUGAGAUCGACUAUCUGAGGCCUCGC
rnacentral:snoRNA from 1 species